UUCAUGAAAUUAUUUGUGAUAGCUAAUUAAUAACUAUUAUAAAAAUUAUAAUAUUAUACAACAAAUAAAUAAGUUUAUUUAGAAAACAAAUAAAAUAAAGUCUGGUGUAUUAUAAUUUACAAUACACCAGACUUUAUAAUUUAUAAAGUUUGUGUGUAAAUACAAUCGGUUUCAAUAUAAAAAAUUAUUCUCUUAAUACAUAACUGAAUACAAAAUAAGGAAUACAGAGAAUUUAAUAUUAUUUUACACAGGAAAUAAAUCAAUUUCAUUAGAAGAGAUUGUAAAAAAAAUGAUGAAAUGACAUAAAUUAAAGACUAUUAUUUAUUAUCUACAAAAUAUUAGUGCCCUAUAGAGUAUUAUUUUUUAAAUCUAUCUGUAUAUUCAAACUGUUCCUAAAUAUUUCGUUUUCUUAACUUCCUUAUAAAUAUGCAACUCUUACAUUACAGAAUUAAUGUAUAUGUUAUUUUUUUUU